rnacentral:rRNA from 1 species
AAUGUUGGACAAUGGGCGCAAGCCUGAUCCAGCCACGCCGCGUGAGUGAAGAAGGNCCNNGGGUUNUNAAGCUCUUUCGGACGNNNNNAAAUCGCGCAGGCUAAUACCCUCCCCGGAUGACGGUACCGUCAUAAGACGCACCGGCUAACUACGUGCCAACAGCCGCGGUAAUACGUAUGGUGCGAGCGUUAAUCGGAAUUAGUGGGCGUAAAGGGUGCGCAGGCGGUUGAUUAAGACAGGCGUGAAGUCCCCGGGCUUAACCUGGGAACUGCGCUUGUGACUGGUCAGCUAGAGUACGGCAGAGGGGGGUGGAAUUCCACGUGUAGCAGUGAAAUGCGUAGAGAUGUGGAGGAACACCGAUGGCGAAGGCAGCCCCCUGGGCCGAUACUGACGCUCAUGCACGAAAGCGUGGGUAGCAAACAGG